rnacentral:rRNA from 1 species
UAGGGAAUCUUCCGCAAUGGACGCAAGUCUGACGGAGCAACGCCGCGUGAGUGAAGAAGGAUUUCGGUUCGUAAAACUCUGUUGUUAGAGAAGAACAGCGCAUAGAGUAACUGCUAUGCGUGUGACGGUAUCUAACCAGAAAGCCACGGCUAACUACGUGCCAGCAGCCGCGGUAAUACGUAGGUGGCAAGCGUUGUCCGGAUUUAUUGGGCGUAAAGCGAGCGCAGGCGGUCAAUUAAGUCUGAUGUGAAAGCCCCCGGCUCAACCGGGGAGGGUCAUUGGAAACUGGUUGACUUGAGUGCAGAAGAGGAGAGUGGAAUUCCAUGUGUAGCGGUGAAAUGCGUAGAUAUAUGGAGGAACACCAGUGGCGAAGGCGACUCUCUGGUCUGUAACUGACGCUGAGGCUCGAAAGCGUGGGUAGCAAACAGG